rnacentral:rRNA from 1 species
UGUUUCGGCAAGGGGGUCAUCCCGACUUACCAACCCGAUGCAAACUGCGAAUACCGGAGAAUGUUAUCACGGGAGACACACGGCGGGUGCUAACGUCCGUCGUGAAGAGGGAAACAACCCAGACCGCCAGCUAAGGUCCCAAAGUCAUGGUUAAGUGGGAAACGAUGUGGGAAGGCCCAGACAGCCAGGAUGUUGGCUUAGAAGCAGCCAUCAUUUAAAGAAAGCGUAAUAGCUCACUGGUCGAGUCGGCCUGCGCGGAAGAUGUAACGGGGCUAAACCAUGCACCGAAGCUGCGGCAGCGACGCUUAUGCGUUGUUGGGUAGGGGAGCGUUCUGUAAGCCUGUGAAGGUGUGCUGUGAGGCAUGCUGGAGGUAUCAGAAGUGCGAAUGCUGACAUAAGUAACGAUAAAGCGGGUGAAAAGCCCGCUCGCCGGAAGACCAAGGGUUCCUGUCCAACGUUAAUCGGGGCAGGGUGAGUCGACCCCUAAGGCGAGGCCGAAAGGCGUAGUCGAUGGGAAACAGGUUAAUAUUCCUGUACUUGGUGUUACUGCGAAGGGGGGACGGAGAAGGCUAUGUUGGCCGGGCGACGGUUGUCCCGGUUUAAGCGUGUAGGCUGGUUUUCCAGGCAAAUCCGGAAAAUCAAGGCUGAGGCGUGAUGACGAGGCACUACGGUGCUGAAGCAACAAAUGCCCUGCUUCCAGGAAAAGCCUCUAAGCAUCAGGUAACAUCAAAUCGUACCCCAAACCGACACAGGUGGUCAGGUAGAGAAUACCAAGGCGCUUGAGAGAACUCGGGUGAAGGAACUAGGCAAAAUGGUGCCGUAACUUCGGGAG